rnacentral:rRNA from 1 species
CCACGGGAAUUCCUCGAAUAUCGG